CUCAUAGCGUAUAUUAAGUUGUUGCAGUUAAAAAGCUCGUAGUUGAAUUUCGGGGUUAGUAGGUUGGUCAUGCCUCUGGUAUGUACUGGUCUCACUGAUUCCUCCUUCCUGAUGAACCGUAAUGCCAUUAAUUUGGUGUUGCGGGGAAUUUGGACUGUUACUUUGAAAAAAUUAGAGUGUUUAAAGCAGGCC
rnacentral:rRNA from 1 species